ACCAAAAUUGUAAUCCAAGUAACUAAAGUAGCUGGAACUGCAACAGCUAAAGCUGCUACCAUAGACAAAACCCCAAAAGCUACACCUAAUAAUACAGAUGCAUAUAAAGCAGGCCAACCAGCUGAAGCUGAAGCUGUUGAAUUUGACAUAGUUGAUUCAUACCAAGAAAGUACUGUUUUAAGAAAAUUCCAAGAAAUUGAUAAUAAAAUUGUGUAAACAGAAACAAAGAGAAAUACCCAUGUUCUUCUUUUGUUGUUGAAUUUGACAUCGUUGAUUCAUACCAAGAAAGCACUGUUUUAAAAAAAUUCCAAGAAAUUGAUAAUAAAAUUGUGUAAACAGAAACAAAGAGAAAUACCCAUGUUCUUCUUUUGCUCAUGAUUUUUAUGAGAAACGUAGAGGAGAUUAUUGAUUGAUUUUCUCGUUGUUGUAAAGGUUCUUCCUGUUUGGUUUCUGCCAUUGAUUGUUUUUGGGUUAUACGAUUUGAUGGCUUUCUUGGACUUUGAUUUUUCUCCAUAUUGCUUUCUAUUUUCUUCACUUUCUGCCUCGUUUCCUUUUUACCUUUUCUGUGUUGUUUUGGUUUUGAGGACAGUUUGGUAAACAAAGGGGACAAUACUAGAACGCUUCUAUUUACCCACACGAGGCAUGACGCGCUUUUACUGCGUGGUGUCAGUG
rnacentral:lncRNA from 1 species